rnacentral:rRNA from 1 species
CCUANGGGAGGCUGCAGUCGCGAAAACUUCACAAUGGGGGAAACCCCGAUGAGGGAAUUCCAAGUGUUAGCACAUUGUGUUAACUGUUCCCCUGUCUAAAAAACAGGAGAAGUAAGGGCCGGGUAAGACGGGUGCCAGCCGCCGCGGUAAUACCCGCGGCCCGAGUGGUGGUCGAUAUUAUUGAGCCUAAAACGUUCGUAGCCGGUUUUGUAAAUCCUUGGGUAAAUCGACCAGCUUAACUGUUCGAAGUCCGGGGAGACUGCAAAACUUGGGAUCGGGAGAGGUCAGAGGUACUUCUGGGGUAGGGGUAAAAUCCUGUAAUCCUAGAAGGACCACCGGUGGCGAAGGCGUCUGACUAGAACGAAUUCGACGGUGAGGAACGAAGCCCUGGGGCGCAAACGGGAUUAGAUACCCCUNUANUC